AUACAUGGCUGGAAAAACAUAUUGACUUGAACUUGGAAUGUGAGUGAUAUUUCUGAACAUUAACUUUCCAAUAAGAAGCCUACUGAAGGAAUUGGUCUUACUGUUCUGAUUACACUUGAUGCACCCACAGAGGGAUUUCUUUUUUUUUUUUUUUUUUUUUUUUUUUUUUUUUUUUUUGGGUAUUUUUUUUCCUUCUCCUUCUACCCUAGUCUUUUGCUGGGUACAUAGAGCUGUCUGUACUUAGCAAAUAACUCUUAGUACCACUUCAUUUCCACUGCGUUUUGGGACAUUUUCAAACGAGACUAAUUUGUUAAGUUGUACCAUUUGAAAAUGUUCAAAUGGUACAAUUCAAAGUGGUACCAAUGACAGUGGAAAAUGAAGUGAUACUAGUUAAAGUGGUAAUAAUAACUCAUAGUACCACUUCAUUUUCCACUGUCUUUUCCUCCUUCCUCUAUUGACACCAGCUUUAACUUCUGAAUUUCCU
rnacentral:lncRNA from 10 species